rnacentral:rRNA from 1 species
AACCGACUGCUAAUACCCGCAUACGAUCUAAUCUUGGCAUCGAGGAUAGAUGAAAGGUGGCCUCUACAUGUAAGCUAUCACUGAAGGAGGGGAUUGCGUCUGAUUAGCUAGUUGGAGGGGUAACGGCCCACCAAGGCGAUGAUCAGUAGCCGGUCUGAGAGGAUGAACGGCCACAUUGGGACUGAGACACGGCGCAGACCUCUACGGGAGGCAGCAGUGGGGAAUCUUCCGCAAUGGACGAAAGUCUGACGGAGCAACGCCGCGUGAGUGAUGACGGCUUCGGGUUGUAAAGCUCUGUUAAUCGGGACGAAAGGCCUUCUUGCGAAUAGUGAGAAGGAUUGACGUACCGGAAUAGAAACACCC